GUGGGGAAUCUUGCGCAAUGGGCGAAAGCCUGACGCAGCCAUGCCGCGUGAAUGAUGAAGGUCUUAGGAUUGUAAAAUUCUUUCACCGGGGACGAUAAUGACGGUACCCGGAGAAGAAGCCCCGGCUAACUUCGUGCCAGCAGCCGCGGUAAUACGAAGGGGGCUAGCGUUACUCGGAAUUACUGGGCGUAAAGGGCGCGUAGGCGGACAGCUUAGUCAGAGGUGAAAGCCCAGGGCUCAACCUUGGAAUUGCCUUUGAUACUGGCUGUCUUGAGUUUGGGAGAGGUGAGUGGAACUCCGAGUGUAGAGGUGAAAUUCGUAGAUAUUCGGAAGAACACCAGUGGCGAAGGCGACUCACUGGCCCAAUACUGACGCUGAGGCGCGAAAGCGUGGGGAGCAAACAGGAUUAGAUACCCUGGUAGUCC
rnacentral:rRNA from 1 species